GUCUUCUUGUUUACCGGAUUUGUGCAAUUUUAUGUGUUUGCUUUCUCAUUACAGAUAAAUAUUGAGAAUGUCGGAUACUAGCUCUGCUAGAGUCAUGCGUUCUUGUACCAAAUGCAGGAAAUUUAUGGCGGGAGGAGACCCGCACGACGUCUGCCCCGGGUCUCGGUCACCCUGUGAUGUCGAAUCACGUUGUCUACUCUGUCUUCCUCUCGGACCAACUGAAUUUGACAACUACUUGAAGGUCUUGGCUCAGCACUGUAGGAAAUCGGAUGCUGUUUCGGCGGCUUCCCCUCCAGUUACGCCGACUUUGGAGUCUAUGGCUGAAUUGCUGAAGUCUAUCUUACCCAGUAUGGUUCAAGAAACUAUCGCUUCGCUACAAGCCACUACUAGACCUACGGCUACCGUGACGGUACCAGUUUCAACUCCAGUGUCUACUACGGUGUGCGCUACGGUGACCACGGUUACCACACCAACGGAUACUACGGUGUCUCGUCCACCUAGGGAUUCCACUGCGGAUCAUCACCAACCUACUUCACCUGUUGUUGGGCAUCACAGCCGUGAACGGAGCCGUUCUCCACGAUCUACGGAUUAUUCUCAUCGCCGUCAUCGGUCUCGUAGUAUACAGCAUUAUACCUCACGGUCACCCUCCGGUUUCCGUUACGGCCGUUCACGAACUCCGCGUCCUUCAAGUAUGGCGGAUCGGCAUGCUUGUGCUCGGCUUUUGCGGGACUUCCCUGAGGAUGAACCACAGGAUUCCGUUGUGGAUGAUUCAGAUACCGUGGAUAAUAUGACAAUGAAAGACUGUUUAUCCAUUGUUUACGAUUUCUACCAUCGCUACCUCGAUCACCGGCGCCUACCCGGAAGGGACCGGUACCUAUGAUUGUUACCGACGCAGCCCCAGAGGAUGUGGUGAUUAAAUCUCUUGCUGUGGGCACGAUGAUCGCUGGUGUUAAUACAGAGUUGGAUGCGGUUUUUGCUGACACGGCCUCCCCUUUGGCAUUACCUGCGUGGCAUUCUAAUGCCUAUUCAGUGUUUAACGUGCCCUUCAAGGUAUCUCGUCUCGGCAAAUCUCAUACAAUGGUGGAAAUUCCUGAGCGUACAAUCACUACCAUUGAUACUACUCAGCGACGGCUUAAUUGAACUAACUUCUCCACCGUUUUACUAGUAAGAAAAAAUCGGGGUUUUGUUGGUUUAUGUUCUGAUGGAUGCUUCUACUAUAUUUGUUUCCGUUGGUAUACAAUUAUUGGUUGGAUGGUUACCUAACACCUGCAUCCGCGGUGGUGACGCUUACUCACCUUUCAGAACUUCCUUGUUGGAGAACGAAUUUGUGACCUUUUCGUGCUUCACGACUUCAUUACUCCACACCACUGACGGAUGCUUCCUUCCCACUGUCAAUACUAACAGCAUGGAUAUUGGUUGUUAUGCAUCGUUUGGAGGAUGGGCUAAAUUUGGUUGGGUUUUUUUGUUUUUUCUUCCACACUCACAGUUGGGGUGAACACUUGUACAUCUUCGGAGUAUGGAACCCGCCACCAUCUAUUGAAUGCUGCACUAAUUAUGAGGACAGGUGAUGUUGAAAAGAAAUGGAGAAAACUUAGGUGUUUUCUCUUUUAUAGAUACAUCACCUGUCCUCAUGGAAUGAUUUCCCACCCUUCCUCCCCUCUUCCAGUUCUCCGUGUGAUUCGCUCAGGGAAAAGAAGGAAGUUGUAGUCACAUGACCGGAACAGGAAGGGUACACAGUGGAAGAAUUUAAGCCAUCCCAUUGGCUGUUGGGAUGUUCGGACCAGUCUACUAAUCGUAGGGAAUAUGCACUAGUUAUGAGGACAGGUGAUGUAUCUAUAAAAGAGAAAACACCUCAAGUUUUCUCCAGUUUCACUUUCAUUGGGGAUUUACCAAUUUUUAACAGAGUUAUGGCCAGAUCAAGUUUGACAUUCAGCGGUUUGCCAUAUAGGUAAAUAUCAUCAUAUUAUUUCAGUGAAGGAUUUGCCAGAUGUAUAAAUGACUCAAGAUAUCUUAACAAAAGAUUUUCCAUUGCCAUUUGCAUAAAAUGCCUAGUUAGUUUAAGGAUGUUACAUGUGCAUAAUUUCCAUAAAUGUCUCGUAUUAUAUUAAUAAAGGAUUGGUCACGUGUGCAUAAAAUGCCUCUUUAUUUUUUUAAAGGAUUUCACGCGUGUAUAAAUGUCUCAUUUUCUUUUAAUGCUUCGCGUUAUUUCAGUAAAAGUGAAACGAGACGAUGGAUUUCACAUAGACCUGGAUGACUAUCUGAUGGGCUUGCUGCAAGUUGCCACGGAACUGUCUCGACUUGCGAUCAACUCGGUGACAGCAGGAGACUACUCCCGACCGGUGCGGAUUUCUACGUUUGUGGCAGAGCUGGACUCGGGGUUUAGACUCCUCAAUUUAAAAAAUGAUAAUCUGCGAAAACGCUUUGACGCA
rnacentral:misc_RNA from 1 species